rnacentral:rRNA from 1 species
CACGUAGGGCGCGAGCGUUUGUCCGGAAUUAUUGGGCGUAAAGAGCUCGUAGGCGGCCUGUUGCGUCCGCUGUGAAAGCCCGGGGCUUAACCCCCGGGUCUGCAGUGGAUACGGGCAGGCUAGAGGUAGGUAGGGGAGAAUGGAAUUCCCGGUGUAGCGGUGAAAUGCGCAGAUAUCGGGAGGAACACCGGUGGCGAAGGCGGUUCUCUAGUACGGUACUGACGCUGAGACGCGAAAGCGUGGGGAGCGAACAGG